ACAGAUGGGAGCUUGCUCCCUGAUGUUAGCGGCGGACGGGUGAGUAACACGUGGGUAACCUGCCUGUAAGACUGGGAUAACUCCGGGAAACCGGGGCUAAUACCGGAUGGUUGUUUGAACCGCAUGGUUCAGACAUAAAAGGUGGCUUCGGCUACCACUUACAGAUGGACCCGCGGCGCAUUAGCUAGUUGGUGAGGUAACGGCUCACCAAGGCGACGAUGCGUAGCCGACCUGAGAGGGUGAUCGGCCACACUGGGACUGAGACACGGCCCAGACUCCUACGGGAGGCAGCAGUAGGGAAUCUUCCGCAAUGGACGAAAGUCUGACGGAGCAACGCCGCGUGAGUGAUGAAGGUUUUCGGAUCGUAAAGCUCUGUUGUUAGGGAAGAACAAGUGCCGUUCAAAUAGGGCGGCACCUUGACGGUACCUAACCAGAAAGCCACGGCUAACUACGUGCCAGCAGCCGCGGUAAUACGUAGGUGGCAAGCGUUGUCCGGAAUUAUUGGGCGUAAAGGGCUCGCAGGCGGUUUCUUAAGUCUGAUGUGAAAGCCCCCGGCUCAACCGGGGAGGGUCAUUGGAAACUGGGGAACUUGAGUGCAGAAGAGGAGAGUGGAAUUCCACGUGUAGCGGUGAAAUGCGUAGAGAUGUGGAGGAACACCAGUGGCGAAGGCGACUCUCUGGUCUGUAACUGACGCUGAGGAGCGAAAGCGUGGGGAGCGAACAGGAUUAGAUACCCUGGUAGUCCACGCCGUAAACGAUGAGUGCUAAGUGUUAGGGGGUUUCCGCCCCUUAGUGCUGCAGCUAACGCAUUAAGCACUCCGCCUGGGGAGUACGGUCGCAAAAUGGAACUCAAAGGAAUUGA
rnacentral:rRNA from 2 species